rnacentral:rRNA from 1 species
AGCGCGCGCAGGCGGUCCUUUAAGUCUGAUGUGAAAGCCCACGGCUCAACCGUGGAGGGUCAUUGGAAACUGGGGACUUGAGUGCAGAAGAGAAGAGUGGAAUUCCACGUGUAGCGGUGAAAUGCGUAGAGAUGUGGAGGAACACCAGUGGCGAAGGCGACUCUUUGGUCUGUAACUGACGCUGAGGCGCGAAAGCGUGGGGAGCAAACAGGAUUAGAUACCCCGGUAGUCCA